GCAGCAGCCGCGGUAAUACGGAGGGUGCAAGCGUUAAUCGGAAUUACUGGGCGUAAGGCGCACGCAGGCGGUCUGACAAGUCAGAUGUGAAAUCCCCGGGCUUAACCUGGGAACUGCAUUUGAAACUGUCAGGCUGGAGUCUUGUAGAGGGGGGUGGAAUUCCAGGUGUAGCGGUGAAAUGCGUAGAGAUCUGGAGGAAUACCGGUGGCGAAGGCGGCCCCCUGGACAAAGACUGACGCUCAGGUGCGAAAGCGUGGGGAGCAAACAGGAUUAGAUACCCCUGUAGUCCCUGUCUCUUAUAC
rnacentral:rRNA from 1 species